UAGACGAGUUUGAUCCUGGCUCAGAGUGAAUGCUAGUAAUAUGCCGAAUACAUGCAAGUCGAACGAAUCGAAAAGAUUAAGUGGCGGACGGGUGAGUAACGCGUGGGAAUCUGCCUUCUAGUGGGGGAUAGCCCGGAGAAAUCCGGAUUAAUACCGCAUACGCCCUACGGGGGAAAGCCGGGGAUCUUCGGACCUGGCGCUAGUAGAUGAGCCCGCGUGAGAUUAGCUUGUUGGUGGGGUAUGGCCUACCAAGGCAACGAUCUCUAGCUGGUCUGAGAGGACGAUCAGCCACACUGGGACUGAGACACGGCCCAGACUCCUACGGGAGGCAGCAGUGGGGAAUAUUGGACAAUGGGCGAAAGCCUGAUCCAGCAAUGCCGCGUGUGUGAAGAAGGCCUGAGGGUUGUAAAGCACUUUCAAUCGUGAAGAAAAGUUGCAGGCUAAUACCCUGUGACCUUGACGUUAACGAUACAAGAAGCACCGGCUAACUCCGUG
rnacentral:rRNA from 1 species